rnacentral:rRNA from 1 species
GAUGAACGCUGGCGGCGUGCCUAAUACAUGCAAGUCGAGCGAACGGAUAAGGAGCUUGCUCCUUUGAAGUUAGCAGCGGACGGGUGAGUAACACGUGGGUAACCUACCUAUAAGACUGGAAUAACUUCGGAGAACCGGAGCUAAUGCCGGAUAACAUUUGGAACCGCAUGGUUCUAAAGUAAAGAUGGUUCUGCUAUCACUUAUAGAUGGACCCGCGCCGUAUUAGCUAGUUGGUAAGGUAACGGCUUACCAAGGCAACGAUACGUAGCCGACCUGAGAGGGUGAUCGACCACACUGGAACUGAGACACGGUCCAG